rnacentral:rRNA from 1 species
GACGAACGCUGGCGGCGUGCUUAACACAUGCAAGUCGGACGGAAAGGCCCUGCUUUUGUGGGGUGCUCGAGUGGCGAACGGGUGAGUAACACGUGAGUAACCUGCCCUUGACUUUGGGAUAACUUCAGGAAACUGGGGCUAAUACCGGAUAGGAGCUCCUGCUGCAUGGUGGGGGUUGGAAAGUUUCGGCGGUUGGGGAUGGACUCGCGGCUUAUCAGCUUGUUGGUGGGGUAGUGGCUUACCAAGGCUUUGACGGGUAGCCGGCCUGAGAGGGUGACCGGCCACAUUGGGACUGAGAUACGGCCCAGACUCCUACGGGAGGCAGCAGUGGGGAAUAUUGCACAAUGGGCGGAAGCCUGAUGCAGCAACGCCGCGUGCGGGAUGACGGCCUUCGGGUUGUAAACCGCUUUCGCCUGUGACGAAGCGUGAGUGACGGUAAUGGGUAAGAAGCACCGGCUAACUACGUG